rnacentral:piRNA from 1 species
UAACUCAAUGGCAGGGUUGUUCACCUUGAA